rnacentral:rRNA from 1 species
UACGGAGGAUCCAAGCGUUAUCCGGAAUCAUUGGGUUAAAGGGUCCGUAGGCGGUUUGGUAAGUCAGUGGUGAAAGCCCAUCGCUCAACGGUGGAACGGCCAUUGAUACUGCCAGACUUGAAUUAUUAGGAAGUAACUAGAAUAUGUAGUGUAGCGGUGAAAUGCUUAGAGAUUACAUGGAAUACCAAUUGCGAAGGCAGGUUACUACUAAUGGAUUGACGCUGAUGGACGAAAAGCGUGGGGUAGCGAACAGG